UUAUUUUUUCUAUUUGUUAUGUUAUUUCUAUCGCGGAAAAGUGGUUAUUUUUUUUAACAAUUUUACUUGAAUCGAAUGAAAAAUUCAGAAAGGUUGUCUUUUGAAUAGCAAUACAUUUUAUCAAAAGAUAAUCAGGAUAUAAUUAUAUACCCUCCGCACCCGACCCUUUCGUGAGUUACGUUAAUGUUAUUCAAUAGAAUAUAAGAUUAUCUUAUUAGUUGAUCAUUUGAUAGAGUAAAAGGUAUACAUAAAUUUUAAAAAGUUAAGAACUGACACGAAGACGAACAUAAAUACAUGUAGGUAACAGUAUGAUUUCCUAUUCAGUGUGUAUCGUUCUGAACAUGCAUGAAAUAUUUGCCACUGGACGUUAAGCAAGCAACCAAAAAUCAAUCAACCUAUUCAGUUUGACUCAAUAAGAUUUUCAAAAUCU
rnacentral:lncRNA from 1 species